AGAGUUUGAUCAUGGCUCAGGAUGAACGCUAGCGGCAGGCCUAACACAUGCAAGUCGAGGGGUAACGCGAGGUAGCAAUACUUCGGCGACGACCGGCGCACGGGUGCGUAACGCGUAUGCAACCUGCCCUGUACAGGGGGAUAACGGGGUGAAAAUCCCACUAAUAUCCCAUGGUGUCGCGAGGCCGCAUGACCUUGUGACUAAAGCUUCGGUGGUACAGGAUGGGCAUGCGUGACAUUAGCUAGUUGGCGGGGCAACGGCCCACCGAGGCGACGAUGUCUAGGGGAGCUGAGAGGCUAAUCCCCCACACUGGUACUGAGACACGGACCAGACUCCUACGGGAGGCAGCAGUGAGGAAUAUUGGUCAAUGGAGGGAACUCUGAACCAGCCAUGCCGCGUGAGGGAAGAAGGCCCUAUGGGUUGUAAACCUCUUUUGCCUGGGGGCAAUAAGGCGCAUGCGUGCGUUGAUGAGAGUACCAGGCGAAUAAGCAUCGGCUAACUCCGUGCCAGCAGCCGCGGUAAUACGGAGGAUGCAAGCGUUAUCCGGAUUUAUUGGGUUUAAAGGGUGCGUAGGCGGCUUGGUAAGCGGGAGGUGAAAUGCCGGCGCUCAACGUCGGAAGUGCCUCCCGAACUGUCGGGCUUGAAUGGUUGUGCCGUGGGAGGAAUGAGUGGUGUAGCGGUGAAAUGCUUAGAGAUCACUCAGAACACCCGAUUGCGAAGGCAUCUCACGAACGACUGAUUGACGUUGAGGCUCGAAGGCGUGGGGAGCAAACAGGAUUAGAUACCCUGGUAGUCCGCACGGUAAACGAUGGAUGCCCGCUGUUUGCGAUAUACUGUGAGCGGCCAAGCGAAAGCGUUAAGCAUCCCACCUGGGGAGUACGCCGGCAACGGUGAAACUCAAAGGAAUUGACGGGGGCCCGCACAAGCGGAGGAACAUGUGGUUUAAUUCGAUGAUACGCGAGGAACCUUACCCGGGCUUGAACUGCCGGCGAACGAUACAGAGAUGUUGAGGCCCUUCGGGGCGCCGGUGGAGGUGCUGCAUGGUUGUCGUCAGCUCGUGCCGUGAGGUGUCGGCUUAAGUGCCAUAACGAGCGCAACCCCUCUCUUCAGUUGCCAUCACUUCGGGUGGGCACUCUGGAGACACUGCCACCGUAAGGUGUGAGGAAGGUGGGGAUGACGUCAAAUCAGCACGGCCCUUACGUCCGGGGCUACACACGUGUUACAAUGGGUGGUACAGAGCGUCGGCCGCCGGCAACGUCGGUCCAAUCGUGAAAUCCAUCCUCAGUUCGGACUGGGGUCUGCAACCCGACCCCACGAAGCUGGAUUCGCUAGUAAUCGCGCAUCAGCCAUGGCGCGGUGAAUACGUUCCCGGGCCUUGUACACACCGCCCGUCAAGCCAUGAAAGCCGGGGGCGCCUGAAGUCCGUGACCGCGAGGGUCGGCCUAGGGUGAAACCGGUGAUUGGGGCUAAGUCGUAACAAGGUAACCGUA
rnacentral:rRNA from 1 species